rnacentral:tRNA from 10 species
GGAAUAGCUCAGUUGGUAGAGCAUCGGUCUCCAAAACCGAGUGUCGGGAGUUCGAGCCUCUCUUCC